rnacentral:rRNA from 1 species
UGGCUCAGAUUGAACGCUGGCGGCAGGCCUAACACAUGCAAGUCGAGCGGCAGCACGGGUACUUGUACCUGGUGGCGAGCGGCGGACGGGUGAGUAAUGCCUAGGAAUCUGCCUGGUAGUGGGGGAUAACGUUCGGAAACGAACGCUAAUACCGCAUACGUCCUACGGGAGAAAGCAGGGGACCUUCGGGCCUUGCGCUAUCAGAUGAGCCUAAGUCGGAUUAGCUAGUUGGUGAGGUAAUGGCUCACCAAGGCGACGAUCCGUAACUGGUCUGAGAGGAUGAUCAGUCACACUGGAACUGAGACACGGUCCAGACUCCUACGGGAGGCAGCAGUGGGGAAUAUUGGACAAUGGGCGAAAGCCUGAUCCAGCCAUGCCGCGUGUGUGAAGAAGGUCUUCGGAUUGUAAAGCACUUUAAGUUGGGAGGAAGGGCAGUUACCUAAUACGUAAUUGUUUUGACGUUACCGACAGAAUAAGCACCGGCUAACUCUGUGCCAGCAGCCGCGGUAAUACAGAGGGUGCAAGCGUUAAUCGGAAUUACUGGGCGUAAAGCGCGCGUAGGUGGUUCGUUAAGUUGGAUGUGAAAUCCCCGGGCUCAACCUGGGAACUGCAUUCAAAACUGUCGAGCUAGAGUAUGGUAGAGGGUGGUGGAAUUUCCUGUGUAGCGGUGAAAUGCGUAGAUAUAGGAAGGAACACCAGUGGCGAAGGCGACCACCUGGACUGAUACUGACACUGA